GAUGAACGCUAGCGGCAGGCCUAAUACAUGCAAGUCGAGGGAGAAUGUUGGAUUCGUCUGACAUGAAACCGGCGCACGGGUGCGUAACACGUAUGCAGCCUACCUUUAACUGGGGUAUAGCUCAGAGAAAUCUGAAUUAAUCCCCCAUAAGACUACGACAUGGCAUCAUGAUGUAGUUAAAGCUCCGGCGGUUAAGGAUGGGCAUGCGGUACAUUAGCUAGUUGGUGAGGUAAGGGCUCACCAAGGCUACGAUGUAUAGGGGGUCUGAGAGGAUGAUCCCCCACACUGGUACUGAGACACGGACCAGACUCCUACGGGAGGCAGCAGUAGGGAAUAUUGGUCAAUGGACGCAAGUCUGAACCAGCCAUGCCGCGUGAAGGAUGAAGGCCCUAUGGGUCGUAAACUUCUUUUAUUAGGGAAGAAAAAACGGGAUGCGUCCUGUACUGACGGUACUUAAUGAAUAAGGAUCGGCUAACUUCGUGCCAGCCGCCGCAGUAA
rnacentral:rRNA from 1 species